UACGUACUCCCUCCGUUCUGAAUUACUCGUCGCAGAAAUGGAUGUAUCUAGAAUACAUCUAGAUACAUCCAUUUCUGCGAUGUCGCAGAAAUAGAUGUAUUCUAGAUACAUCCAUUUCUGUGACGAGUAAUUUGGAACAGAGAGAGUAUUUG
rfam:Triticum urartu cultivar G1812 contig951008, whole genome shotgun sequence.